rnacentral:rRNA from 1 species
UACGAAGGGUGCAAGCGUUACUCGGAAUUACUGGGCGUAAAGCGUGCGUAGGUGGUGAGUUAAGUCUGUCGUGAAAGCCCCGGGCUCAACCUGGGAAUGGCGAUGGAUACUGGCUCGCUAGAGUGCGGUAGAGGAGAGUGGAAUUCCCGGUGUAGCAGUGAAAUGCGUAGAGAUCGGGAGGAACAUCAGUUGCGGAAGGCGGCUCUCUGGACCAGCACGUAGGAACCACUGAGG